rnacentral:misc_RNA from 1 species
GUGACCUAGGGACGAGAAUAGAAAACAUUGCAGAUCAUUCCCAGCUGAGGAAAGGGUGAGGUUAUCGAUUGUUUAUUGGAAUAGAAGUCCCCAACGUUGCUCAUUCCUUAAAUUACUAAAUUUUCAAACAUUUACUUGAUAACGUCAAACAUGUCAACAUCUGGAGAUUUUGGGAAUCCUUUACGAAAAUUCAAGCUCGUAUUUCUAGGAGAACAAAGUGUUGGUAAAACAUCACUGAUUACAAGAUUUAUGUAUGACAGUUUUGACAAUACUUAUCAGGCUACAAUAGGAAUAGACUUUCUUUCCAAAACAAUGUAUUUAGAGGAUCGAACGGUGAGACUUCAGCUGUGGGAUACUGCUGGUCAAGAAAGGUUUCGAAGUUUGAUACCUAGCUACAUUAGAGAUUCUACAGUUGCUGUUGUAGUAUAUGACAUCACAAAUGCUAACUCCUUUCACCAAACCUCUAAGUGGAUUGAUGAUGUUAGAACGGAGAGAGGAAAUGAUGUGAUUAUCAUGUUAGUUGGAAAUAAGACAGAUUUGGCUGACAAAAGACAGGUCACAACAGAAGAGGGUGAAAGAAAGGCCAAGGAACUUAAUGUGAUGUUUAUUGAAACAAGUGCUAAGUCUGGGUAUAAUGUCAAACAGUUAUUUAGACGAGUUGCUGCAGCCCUUCCUGGAAUGGAAAAUGCAGAGAAAACAAAAGAAGACAUUGUUGACGUUGACCUGAAAGAUGCUCCGAUUGAGCCACAGAAACAAGAGGGUGGGUGCUGGUGCUAGGGAUGCCUGGCAUGUGAGGGCUGGUGCUGGUGUUUGGAGGGUUGUUGAUACCAGGACCACCCAGUAUAAGAGGGAACUACUUUCUGAAGUUUGAGCAGUAGGAACUUCUUUCAGAGCAUAGAACCUCCUUAACUCUUCACAGCUGUACCUUUGAAACCACAGGAACCUCCCAAGGAACAAAAAGAUGAAGAGGGAGGCUGUAUUUGUUAAGGAUAUAUUUUAUUCCUAUACUUUGUCUGCAUUAAGCUUGCCAGAAAGUCUAAAUUAUAUUAUAUAUUGAUCUGCUUAAUUUGCUGGCCUUAGCCUAUCAAGACCUCAUUGAAGGCAGUGGUACCACUCCUACACAAAGCUAAUGACAACUACUUCAAUCAUGUAGUCAUUUCACAGCUCAGCUUCUAGAUCAACACUAAUGCUCUAUGUUGUUUUCAUAUUUCUUGCUGUGUUUUUAGUCCUGAGAUUCUAGAGAUGGUGAGAAAGUAAUUAAGAACUAUAGGUUUCCUUAAUCCUUUGUCAUGUCAACACUAGGACACUAUCAAAUAGUUUGAAUGUAAAGUAUUCAGUGUGGAGUAGGCAUUUCUUUUUCUGAAUACAUUAAGACAUUGACCAUUUAAAAAUCAUUUGGUGGUCAUAUUUGCUCUACUGGCCUUAAAUGUUAUGUGUUGAAAGAGUCAAUUAAGAAAUAGUUGUUCCAUCUAAAAAGAAAAAUAUAACGUAUCUCAGAAUCAUUCCAUUUUAAGUACAUAACAAUUUUGGAUUAAAUAGGUAGGUGAAAUAAUUUUAUUUUGGUGGGACUUUGCUGUUAUUAAUGGAUAAUUUUUUUAACGUUUUGUAUGAAUUUUGUCUCUGGGUUUUUUACCCAGAUGAUUUGUUUGAAUAUUAAUUUAUAAUUUUAUAGAAUCAAAUAAGUAUUUAUUUCUGAGUGCAUUGAAAAUGUACAGUUUGUGGCACAAGUUUGUUCAUGAAUGAGAAAUUUGGAACUUACUGAAGUUUUAAUUUAGUACUUACUAUGCAAUUAUCUAUAACUGAUCAUUCCUUGUAAGACAGUUUUAAUUUGGAAAGAAAACAGUUUUUCAAAUGUAACACCAUAAAUAAUUUUAAUUUUGUGUUUGGUGGUUCAAAAACCUAAAGAAACUUUCACUUCUGUUACAUUUUCAGAAAAUUGUGAAAAUCUGUAUGCUAUUAAAUGUUGCUUCAUUUUUUCUGAUACCUAACACGUUAUCUGUGAAAUUCCUUAAUUUUACAACUAAUUUUAACUUUGAAUAUUAGAAAACUUAUAGAUUGGAUAUGUAUAUGAAUAUAAUUUGCAUGACAUUUAAACUUCUUUCUGCUUAUCAGCCCUGAUAGUGAAUAAAAAAAAUAUUUAUUGUUUUGUGUAUCCAUGUUACAUAAAAUUCACUGUUGUUCUUUUCACAAUUCCAAAUUUAUCUAUAGUAUGUUACAUGUAACAAACUGAGUGUCAUAAUCAUUAAGAACAUUUAAUACCAAAGAGUAAAUGGUAAAACUUAGGCAAAUUUAAGGAUUCAGGGCUGGAUUCUUCAAGUGUCUGUUCACAAAGAUUGUUUACUUUUUUGCACAGCUUAAUUUAAUAGUUAAAAAACUAAUAUUUGACCAGUCUGAAAUAUCCAUUGUAUAUGAAUGGAAACUUGUACCUAUUACUUGAACCCUUUUAUGAACUAAUACAGGUAAUUUAGAGAAGCAAUAUAAGAAUAAAGUUUGGGAUCUGUGGGUUUUUAAAAAUGCUGACUGGUUUGUCUGUAUCAACUUUAAGAGUUCUUGUGCUUGCAAUGAACUAUCCACAUGCUUAGUUUGAACAUACACGUGUUCCUUAUAAAUCUGGUAAACUUUCCAUUAGGAUGAUAAAAAUAAGAACGUAGGCAGCAUUGAAAAUAAGUUAAUAAAUUACAUGUGCAUUACCAACCCAAUGUUAGCAGUUGACAUAUUUUGUUUUCAAAAAGGGAUUACAUAUGACAACAUAGCAGAAAAAUGAAGUGCUGUACAUCUAUAAGGAUCCUGUCCCACGGCUAAAACAUAUCUUAUGCUUACUCCCAUUGUCAUCUGCUUUGGCUUUCAUGAUUUACACAAGUUUGAGUAUUAAUAGAUGUAUCAUAUUCUAUUACUGAACUAUUGUUUUAUUAUGACAUUAAGAUAUUUAAGAGUUUGGUAAUUUUAUCAUGUGAAGGGUUCUGGGCAGCAUCUUGAGUAGACACUGCGUGAAAAUUAUAAGGGAUCUUCUUGUGAGCAUAUUUGGAUUUGUUGAAUAUGUUUUGUUGUUUUCUUUCACACACAUAUAUUGGGUUUAUUAAGAAGUUUGAUACCAUGUAAAAGUAAAGCAUCUAUUAAAUUAUCCAGUUCAUAUUGAUAGGAUGUGAUAAUCUAGGUUUACAGUCACCAAGUCAACAAUAAUAUAUUUGUGGCAUAAGUUGCUCAGUUAUAUGUAAACCUCACUUUAAACUAGCAUUAAGCUUAUAUUGCAGUUGAGAAUGUUGAAACAUUAAGCUGGCAAUUUUGUAAGGACUACUUUUGACUUUGUUCAUCUUUUUCUUCAGAUACAAGCAGAUUGUAGUGACAAUUUAGGUUUAACAUAUUGUAACAUUCAAACUGACUAGGGCAGAUAAGUUGACCAUAAAUAAGAUGGGAAUAUCAAAACUGAUAAUGAGAACAUUAGAUGUCAAUAAAAAGUUGUCUGUGGUGCUAAUUAACAAGGUUAAAACUAAUAGAAAUGAAAAAGUGGCUGGAAGUAUGUAGUGAAAACGAACAAAUUUACACAUACACACAUAUACUAGUUGUUUCUCUUUAGUAAGCAAUACUUGCUUCUAGGUCUGUUAAAGUAAAUAUUCAAUUUGUAUUGUUAGAGAAGCAGUUGUAUAUUUAUGUAUGAUAUAUAUGUAGUGGUAAUUAAUUUAUUAAUACUUGACCCUCAUAAAAUACCAAUGUGUGUGUAUAUGUGAAUGUUUUUUCCUUCUUACCAUAUUAAAGUACUUUACUGCAGGGAUUCUGAACUUGUAGCAGUACUGCCAGAUCACUGGGCCAAAUCAAUAAAUUGAUAGUCUUUUAACUUUUUUUUUAUGAAGUAAAACAUUUUGAAAUUAUGUUAUGGAUACAUCUUAAUAAUAAUAGGCCCUUGAAACUUGUAUUGUUUUCUAAUCAAACUUGUUUUGGUCAAGUUUUAUUUCAGUGUUGAAAAAAAGGUAUGAAGGACCAGAUUUUUUGUUUGUUUAUUAUGAUGAUUGGACAGACUUGGUAAAAGAAACCUCAGUAUAUAAAUAUCAUGGCUGAUUGGCCAAUAAAAGGAUAGAUGCAGGACUAACUUCCCAGUUUUUGUUUCCAGUUUAUUGUGGACAUUCAUCACUCGGUGCAUGGAGAUAGGCUUUUGUAAGAAAAGCAAUGGUUGCAUUAAAGUGUCAAUGCCUAAGAAAGUUGUUUUGAGCAUUCUUUGAAAUGUUUUAGUUCAAAACAAAUCAUUUUAAAAUUAAUGUAUUCUGUAUUAAACUGGAUGUACAGUGGUUCGUCAGUUUUUUACUUUUACAAAGAAAAUUUAAUAAUUUUUUUCUAUACAAGGAAUAUUUCGUGUACCAACUAGUAAAAAAAAGAAAGAAAAUGCACUAAAUAUCUUUAAAAAUAUUGCUCUUCCGUUUGAAGGAAACUCUCACAACUACAAGAAGCCUGACCUUGUUGAGUUCUGAAUAAAAAUAUAUCUAAAAUACAGUACAAUUUACUUCUCAACUUAAUAUGGUAUAUAUUAAGAAUAUAAUUACAGAACAGUCUGAUUUUUACUUCUGUGAAAAAUUAGAGCAAAAAUACAUUACAAAAUUAUUAUAGUUUAAUUCUUUGUUUUAUGUUCAAAGGAGCCCUUCUGCAUUAUAAAUUAAUUUUUUUUUCUUCCUUUUGUUCUAAAUGUGAAGUUUAUUUGUAUAAAGAGUCAAAAGAAAAUACAUAGUCUUAAUGGAAGAUAAUUAGUAAAACACUUUCACUCUAAAAAUUCACAAUGAAAACUAUCUAGUUAACCUCUUAAACUGAUAUUAACUUUUCAUUAAAAAAAUAUACAUGAAUCUAUGAUGAGAGAAUUCUUGAAUCCAAGGAUGAAUGUUUGAUAGUUAUGUAUUGGUGAUGUGAAGUAUGUUUGAUUAACCAUCUUUAAACA